UGAGGAAUUUCGUCAAUGGCCGCAAGGCUGAACGAGCAACGCCGCGUGCAGGAAGAAGGUUUUCGGAUUGUAAACUGCUUUUCUGUGGGAAGAGAACGGACGAUACCACAGGAAGAAGCCCCGGCUAACUACGUGCCAGCAGCCGCGGUAAUA
rnacentral:rRNA from 1 species